UCCCUGAUGGCUCAGGCAGUAAAGCGUCUGCCUGCAGUGCAGGAGACCCGGGUUCAAUCCCUGGGUCCGGAA
rnacentral:tRNA from 1 species